AGUGGCUAGGGCUGAUUUGAGGCUGUUCAAGAGAGAGAUGAUUUGUAAAGCUUCACAACCAUCUAUUUAAACUUCGCUUGUGAAACAAGUAAUUGUAAGAAAAUAAAAGAUCAUCAGGAAAACCCAGCUGCAAGAGCAACCCAGAGAAUAGUCUCAUGAGGGCUUGGAUCCACUGUCAAAAUAUUGCACAUCAUUUGAGGCACCUUAACUGUCUCUGCAUGUUUUUAGCUUGUAGCUAAUCUGAGAUAAUUGGACUAAAGCUGAAUUUAAUUAGCUUGUGAUGGUCUAAUAGGACACACAUGGACAGUCACUGUGGCUCACCUAACCUAGCAACUGGUUGAGCUGGGAUGAUUUGCUCAUCUUUGUGAGCCCUGGGAAGAAAAUAAAGAAUCAUAGAACUGCUGAAUACCAGAUUGGAAGGGACCACAAGGAAGAAACUCAGAAGCCUGCUAGAGAUGCUACGGCUCUUGGAUUUACGCACACUGGUCUUUUGAUAGGAAGUUUUCCAAGAAGUUUCUCAGAGGCUGGCAGAGUGCAUAGGAGCCUGUUACUGUCACCUGUUGGAAUGCCAGAGCAGAAACAUUUCCUAACUCAAAAGACAACUUAUCAAGAGGAAACCCCUGAGUAAGACUUUUAUAGCCCUCUGCUGGAGAUUUGCCACUAAUCUGCUCUAGUAUUACAAUUCUAUGCCAGAAGUAUCCGCCAUUCUGAUUUUUUUUUUCUUUUCUAAUUCUAUCUAAAUCAAAUAAAAGAAAAAACCUGGGCUGGAUUACAG